GGCUCAGGACGAACGCUGGCGGCGUGCCUAACACAUGCAAGUCGAGCGGGGACAUACGACGGAUCGGAAGUUUCGGAUGGAAGAGAAGAUGUAUGUUCUAGCGGCGGACGGGUGAGUAACGCGUGAGCAACCUGUCCUUCACAGGGGGAUAACACAGCGAAAGUUGUACUAAUACCGCAUGAGACCACAUUGGGACAUCCCAGAGGGGUCAAAGGAGCAAUCCGGUGAAGGGUGGGCUCGCGUCCGAUUAGAUAGUUGGUGAGGUAACGGCCCACCAAGUCGACGAUCGGUAGCCGACCUGAGAGGGUGAUCGGCCACAUUGGGACUGAGACACGGCCCAAACUCCUACGGGAGGCAGCAGUGGGGAAUAUUGGGCAAUGGGGGAAACCCUGACCCAGCAACGCCGCGUGAGGGAAGAAGGUUUUCGGAUCGUAAACCUCUGUCCUUGGUGAAGAGUGAGAGACGGUAGCCAAGGAGGAAGCCCCGGCUAACUACGUGCCAGCCGCAGC
rnacentral:rRNA from 1 species